rnacentral:rRNA from 1 species
CACGUAGGGGGCAAGCGUUGUCCGGAUUUAUUGGGCGUAAAGAGCUCGUAGGCGGUCUGUCGCGUCGGCUGUGAAAACCCGGGGCUCAACCCCGGGCCUGCAGUCGAUACGGGCAGACUAGAGUGCGGUAGGGGAGACUGGAAUUCCUGGUGUAGCGGUGAAAUGCGCAGAUAUCAGGAGGAACACCGGUGGCGAAGGCGGGUCUCUGGGCCGUAACUGACGCUGAGGAGCGAAAGCGUGGGGAGCGAACAGG